CGAUCGUUAUCUAGUAGAGAACCCAACUUGUAGGUUGGGAUCGAUCCCACGAGGAAAAUGGUUUAGACUUUACUUUAACUAACAAUUAUAUUCAAUUAGUCAAGUUAUUUCCAGAAACAGAUAAUAAAAGGGGGGUUGUGUUUGUGUAAAACAAAUAGCAAGAACUUAAUAAGUAAUCAAUAAUCAAACUCAACUUAGG
rnacentral:lncRNA from 1 species